rnacentral:rRNA from 1 species
GACGAACGCUGGCGGCGUGCUUAACACAUGCAAGUCGAACGAAGAGCGAUGGAAGCUUGCUUCUAUCAAUCUUAGUGGCGAACGGGUGAGUAACGCGUAAUCAACCUGCCCUUCAGAGGGGGACAACAGUUGGAAACGACUGCUAAUACCGCAUACGAUCUAACCUCGGCAUCGAGGAUAGAUGAAAGGUGGCCUCUACAUGUAAGCUAUCACUGAAGGAGGGGAUUGCGUCUGAUUAGCUAGUUGGAGGGGUAACGGCCCACCAAGGCGAUGAUCAGUAGCCGGUCUGAGAGGAUGAACGGCCACAUUGGGACUGAGACACGGCCCAGACUCCUACGGGAGGCAGCAGUGGGGAAUCUUCAGCAAUGGACGAAAGUCUGACGGAGCAACGCCGCGUGAGUGAUGACGGCCUUCGGGUUGUAAAGCUCUGUUAAUCGGGACGAAAGGCCUUCUUGCGAAUAGUUAGAAGGAUUGACGGUACCGGAAUAGAAAGCCACGGCUAACUACGUG